GGGAAUGUGGCUUAGUGGUAUAGUGCUUGCCUAAUGUGCAUGAAGCCCUGGGUUUGAUUCCUCAGUACCA
rnacentral:tRNA from 1 species